rnacentral:rRNA from 1 species
CCUACGGGUGGCAGCAGUGAGGAAUAUUGGUCAAUGGACGAGAGUCUGAACCAGCCAAGUAGCGUGAAGGAUGACUGCCCUAUGGGUUGUAAACUUCUUUUAUAAAGGAAUAAAACGAGGUACGUGUGCCUUAUUGCAUGUACUUUAUGAAUAAGGAUCGGCUAACUCCGUGCCAGCAGCCGCGGUAAUACGGAGGAUCCGAGCGUUAUCCGGAUUUAUUGGGUUUAAAGGGAGCGUAGAUGGGUUGUUAAGUCAGUUGUGAAAGUUUGCGGCUCAACCGUAGAAUUGCAAUUGAUACUGGCAGUCUUGAGUACAGUUGAGGUAGGCGGAAUUCGUGGUGUAGCGGUGAAAUGCUUAGAUAUCACGAGGAACCCCGAUUGCGAAGGCAGCUUACUAAACUGUGACUGACAUUGAUGCUCGAAAGUGUGGGGAUCAAACAGGAUUAGAUACCCGGGUAGUC